GUUUACGAUAACGUUAAUACUGCCCAUAAUGGAGACAAGAGAAGAAGGACGAGACCAACUCCACCUCCAUUAGCCUCCUCAAACAUCAACACUCCCCCUAGUGGAGAGGAGAGAGGAAGGAGCAGACAAACCCCACCUCCACAACCAGUCUAUAAUAACAUCAACACUCCCCCUAGUGGAGAGGAGAGAGGAAGGAGCAGACAAACCCCACCUCCACAACCAGUCUUUAAUAACAUCAACUCUGCCCCUAGUGGAGAGGUUAACCAGUUGUAUGAGAAUACCAGAAAGCUGAAAUAAAAGACACACGUAGUCUUGCCUCUAAAAUCUACACUGUUGGUCCUGUCUUUACAACCUACAUUGUUGGUCCUGCCUCUAUAACCAACUCUGUGGGUCUUGCCUCUACAACCUACCCUGUCGGUCCUGCAUCUACAUCCUACCCUGUUGGUCCUGCCUCUACAACCAACUCCAUUGGUCCUGCCUCUACAACCUACUCCAUUGGUCCUGCCUCUACAACCUACCCUGUUGGUCCUGCCUCUACAACCUACCCUGUUGGUCUUGCCUCUACAACCUACCCUGUUGGUCUUGCCUCUACAACCUACCCUGUUGGUCCUGCCUCUACAACCUCUGAGUUGUAGAGGCAGUUGAUCAGUUGUUCAUUGUCUGAAAAUGGAUUAUAGACAGACUGAAUCUCAAAUUGCACACUUUAUGCUACGCACUACAAGUAGCCUAUGUACUUAGCAGAUAAUGGUGAAGAACAUACUGUUUAGUAUAUUGUAUGCUGGUGUGCCGUAUUGGGGCCGAUUGGGACCUUCUACUUCUUAAAAUUGUGUCUCAAAAUUUGGUCAUGCAUUAACAUCACGCCUGGUUUGAAUAUUUAGCUAGACACCAUUUAGCAUUGUGUUAAACUGAAUAACAUUUCUUAUAAAGUUUACUUCCACCACAUAUAUUAUCUAUUAUGUGUAUGGCUUUUGCCACUUGCCAUUUUAACAGCUUAAUAGCCAGUAAUACUAGUAUCUUACUACUUGGAAUAUUCAUCAGAAUUGAGCAAUUGCUAAUGAGAAUGAAAACAAACUUUACACAGCCAAAGCUAUUUUAUUUAAUGUUACAACAAUGUUAGUUAUUCUUUCAUACGUGAAUGACAUUGAUGCAAUAACUAUCAACUUUUUAGUCAAGUGAAAAGACAAGCAAUUAAUGGAAAACCCUCCUAUUUUAGCUCUGAUAAUUUUUCUGUCAUCAACUGCUGUUGUUUUCCUUGGCCAACCUAGUCAUUACUGAUUGGUAAAGACACCAGGGAUUUAUCUCUAUUGACAGGACAUUCCAAACUAUCUGGGUAGGGCUGACAUGCUAUAGUUCUAAUUGAGUUUCUAUUUUCUGGAUAUUCCAAACUAUCUGGCUAGG
ensembl:lncRNA